GAAAGCGAAGCUAAUACCUGAUAAGACUACGACCUCUUAGGGGGUUGUAGGAAAAGAUGGCCUCUGUUUCAAGCUAUCGUUUAAGGAUGAGCCCUUGCACUAUUAGCUUGUUGGUGGGGUAACGGCCUACCAAGGCUACGAUGGUUAGUUGGUCUGAGAGGAUGACCAGCCACACUGGAACUGAGACACGGUCCAGACUCCUACGGGAGGCAGCAGUGAGGAAUAUUGCGCAAUGGGGGAAACCCUGACGCAGUGACGCCGCGUGAGUGAUGAAGGCUUUCGAGUCGUAAAGCUCUGUUAGGUGGAAAGAAACAUUCCAGUGCCAAUACCACUGGAACUUGACGGUACCACCAGAGGAAGCACCGGCUAACUCCGUGCCAGCAGCCGCGGUAAUACGGAGGGUGCAAGCGUUGUUCGGAAUUACUGGGCGUAAAGGGCGUGUAGGCGGUUAGGCAAGUCAGGUGUGAAAUCCCUUGGCUCAACCAAGGAAGUGCGCUUGAAACUGCUUAACUAGAGUACAGGAGGGGAAAGUGGAAUUCCCAGUGUAGAGGUGAAAUUCAUAGAUAUUGGGAGGAACACCGGUAGCG
rnacentral:rRNA from 1 species